rnacentral:lncRNA from 1 species
CUCUUUCUAUCCCCAGCAGUCCAAUCCAAAUCCCAGUGAAGUCAAAAGAAUGAUUCCCACGUAUCUCAACAGUCUUUGGAUCAGGCCAUGUUAGAAGAAGGGAUUUGCCCCAGAUUUAGAGUAUGCUGCCACCCGUCAUUCACAAGACUGCCUUUGGUAUGAGUUUAUCCAGUGUCACACUGUUCUAAUAUUUUCUGCCCUAUUAAAAUAAGUUAAUUUUUUUAUCUGCAAUGUCAGCCCAUUUUAGUACUUCAGCCAUGACUAUUUUGAAUCAGUUUUAACUUCCUUGCAUACCUAUGCCUAAUAAAUUCUGAACACUUAGUUUUUACCAAAUCUAACAUGGGAGAGGUCAUCUGAAAGUUAAGUUGCUAAAAUUUCCGUGAAAAUAGAUAGCCAAGGUAGAGGUGAGGAGAGGCAAACCUAGUGCUUGUCAGUGAAGGAAUAAUGGCAACAUGAUCUCAAUUUGCUGGGAUUAGAGCAAUCAACAUGAGGAUACUCAGAGAAAAAGAACAGCUGAUGAGGAUUUAUUCAACCUGGAGUAAUCCGAGGAUAAAUCACAAAUAUAAAAAAAAAGCAAACUUCAUAAAUUUUGCUUUACCAAAACUACUUACCUUUGUAAAUUCUCAGGAGCCAGAGGCUGAUUUUUACAGGACAUUAACAUGGAAAUGGUUGCAGAGACAGCCAUGAAAAUGAAUGAUUUGGCUUCACCCAAAAUGAUGGAUAAUCCUGCUAGAAGAGCAUGACAAUGAUAGACAGACCUCUUCUGAGGGAAGAGGUAAUAGAGAAGACUGACACUUUGAUAGGCACCAUGAUGAACAAGCCCUCGGGGGCUGUGAGUUAAUAGGUUAACAGAAGUGUUCUGGCACUCUCAGCCCCUUCCAUCUCUGUGCUCCUUUUAGAGCUCCUUCAGCACCAACCUAAGUAACUCAUUGAACUCAGGACCUAUGCAUUUUGUAACGCAGCUAUGUGCUUCUUGCACAGUUCUUAGCAUCGUAGUAAAGCACAUAAUGAAACUACUUUCUUUACUUAAGUACAAAUGCCUGCUCUGCCCAGCUCUAUUUGACUUUGCCUCUUCCAUCUCUUAGACAUUGCUUGCAGGUAAUAUAAUCCCCUAAGGAUAUUGCACAUGUUGGGUUUAAUCACCUGUGAAAUACGUUGUCACAAUGUCCUGCUGAAGUUGAUGGUGGGCCACUUUCUGAGGUUGACUAAACCAGAAGCUAGCCCAAAUAGUUUCAUUGACACCAACAACGUAUGUGGCUGAUUUCUUGAAAUUCACUGUCAUAUCAUUUCCUUCUCCCCCUUUUUUCACCAUCACCCUUCAUUUCUCAUUGUUAGAAUUCUGAUCGAGUGCUA